UUGCUGUAGAGUAUGUCGACGUUCAACAAGCCAAUGUGGCUGAAUUUGGUCCAUCAGCUCUUUCUCUAGUACAAGAAUGGCUAGCUAAAGUACUGUAAAAUAUUAUCCAGGCCAGCAGUCUGAGAACUUCCAAGCAAACAGAUGCUUGACUAUGAUGAGGAGACACAACGUGCUCUUUGUGUAAGUUGGAAAGGAGUCUCCACACAAGGAAGGGGCUCCGGAUGUUUCUUCGAAUCAGAGCAUAGCUUCCAAGAGCAGAGUGAGAGGACAUCCCUGCCUGCCAAACCCUGCCCUAACCCGGACGAUGCUGGGCCAAUUGUGCGCCGCCCCAUGGGUCUCCCGGUCACGGACGGCUGCAACAGAACCUCUAG